CUGCCCCCCCUCCCCCAGGACUCACCGACCCCCUGUUAUGGGUCCCAGUUUAACGUUUUUUUCGAGGUUCAGUCCAGCGAGUGGGCCGUAGAGACCAGCACUUGGGGGGCGGGGUCACCUGCAGCCUCCUGUUGUGAUUGAUGUUCUGUGAUUGAUGUUUCCUGUAUAUGGCUUUUGAUAUCAUUUCUGUAACUGUCAUCAUUAAAAAUAUGCUGUUAUUAUAUUUUGAAUUUUCAUAUUAGAAGAUGAGCAUAGAGGAAAUAACUUUUAAGUUAUGUUUACAAUUUUAAACAUCGUUAUUACGUUGUCUAAGGAUACAACUUUAUUUAAAUAGUUAAACGCCCCACGGAAGCAGAUUGUGCCCCUGCAAACUUGGGGAGUAGACCCCCCUUCCUAAUAGAGCUCGUAAGUCGCCAUUGCUCAUGGGACCUAUGAGACCGGAAAAAUAGAUGGGAGUCGAUGGAGAGAAAGUAAUUAUUUUCUGAUCCCAGUCUUUAUAUGCCCCGGAUUACACAUAUGUUGUUUGUGGAUUUAAAUGAUAAUUUUUCAUGCAAAGAAAACUAUAAUUUAGCGGGUAGGAGUUUGAUACGGUUAGUUUUUGUGUGGGGCGCUUUGUGGACUACAACUCCCGCUGCUCUCGACGCGUAUGAUAUACGUCACCACCACUCGCAAACAGAUCCAGCAGUCGGAACAUGGCUGUGUCUUUGGUGCAUUUUACCACCUUCUUUCACCUCGAUCAAGGCUUUUGUGCUCUCCUUGAAAGAAGGUAAAAGGAAAAACCCCGGACACGAGAUGUUAACGGAGCCGUGCUCUAGGCCCUCUCGAAUGCCGGGCCGAAAACAUUUGUUUCACUACGACUGCUUUCAGCUGCCCACCCCUCCUUCAGCAAAAAAUAACAAAACGGCUAAUAAAACGCUUGAGUUGGCGUUUUGAAAAGAGAAAACUAACAUAUUUUUAGUACAGGGCAUAAAGAUAAUUAUGAGCCUUUGAUUGAUAUCCAGUCAUUUUUUGCAGAGACACAUUCCUGUGCCCCACUUGUAUUGGAGUGAACGGAGAUAACUACUUCUGGGCCCCAUUGAAUCGAGGGACCCGUCCACAGCCCGCUUAAACAGCUGCAAUACCCGGCUUGGCCGCUGAGCAGCGGUGGAUUGCGGAAGUAUGCACUGUUCCCCGGGGCUUGGGAGCGCUGUAGUUCAAAGAGUUCUCACACAAAACAUUAAACUUCUUUGCGAUUUUUUUUAUUUUUUCUUUGCAUGAAAAAUUAUAAUUUAAAUCUGCAAACAUAUGUGUAAUCCAGGGCAAAUAAAGACUGGGACCAUAGAAUAAUUACUUUCUCCAUUGAAACCCAUGAAAUAUUUUUUUUUAAUGAUCGUAAAUAAACUAGAUGGCGAAGAAGUAAAAGCUGCGUCACGAUUUGAACUUCACUUUUUCGACUGGGUUUUUGGAUUGUCGGUGCCGUUAAAGUAGUAAACGAUUAUUAAUGCUACUUUAACGGCACAGACAAUCCAAAAACCCAGUCGAGAUUAGAUGAAAAAAGUUGUGGUUGGCCAUUUCCAUGUAUUAUGUUCAGCUUGUUUGACUGUGCAUGUAAUUUACGAUUUAAUGUAAAGAUAAUGUCAUGAUUUCGAUUAUACUGCGAGUGUUUAUCUGCACCUGCAUAGUUUUCACAGUGAAGUUGGAGGAAAAAUCUUCAAUCAAACCGGUUGCAAGGAAACCACUUGUGUCUGCAAAAUGCUUCAGGGAUUUAUAAUUUCCUUGUUACAAAAUACAUCUACAACUUCUGUGAUCAAGCCAUGUACAAAUGAAAAAAAUCAUUUAUUCUGAAUUCACCAUUUGUAAGACAAAGAAGGCACUGAGACUGUCGUAGGAAAUGUUUUGGCACAAAGUGUUUACAGCGAUGGAGCGCAUUAACCGCUCCUCAAGCUCCAGGAAGUCCUCUUCUCCGCUAGGGGCUGCUACCGAACCAGGUAUUCCUGAUGAAACAUCAACAUUACUACACAUCGUGGACUCGGGUGGUCAUGUGAUUUAUGAAUGAAUGUUAUUCUAACACGGCCAUGAGAACCAACAUUGACCAAAUCACCUUCCGCCGGUUGAGCGCCACCUGGCAGAAGGAGAAGCCCCCCACCACCACGUAGACGGCCGCCGCGAUGAAGCAGUUGUAGGCGACCUGGUUGUAGAUCCCGUAGACCUUCUGAGGAGGGUUGGUACUGGAACCACAAGAGGUUAGGUUAGUGAACAGGACCGAGACAGGUUAGUGAAAGAGACACAGGUUAGUGAACUGGACCUCUGGUUAGUAGUUGCGAUAGGAUAACCUACUCCCUCAAGUCCUCCUCAGUCAGCGGGACGUCCUCGAUGAGCACCGCGGAGUGGGUUCUGAAGAAGACCCCCAGCAGGGCCUGAGGGGGAGACGGGAGAGGGUGAGACGGGAGCGGGUUAGGGGGACCGGACCGCGAGGAGCGUGAAUCACCUACCAGCAUGACGACACCCCAGACGCUGAUCACGAUGCCGCACGUCGCCAGCUUGGGCCCGCAGAUCAGACACGACAUGACGAGGAGGAUAACUAGAGGAGAAGUGGAGGUAAGAGCUCAGACCACCGAUCGAACUGUUGGCUGGUUUUAGAACUCCUGCCCUGAGUCAGCUGACAGCAGGUCAGCUGACAGCAUGUCACCGGACUUCCUGAUUGAAAACUAAAACCGGAAGUCUGAGGACGUACAUGAGGGUGCGUUCAAGACAUUCUUCCAUGGUCUAUGUCUAUGGUUCAAGAGCCCUACCAUAGAUAUAUUAUAUACACAGUGUUCUAUAUAUAUAUAUAUGAGCCCGACGGUAGCCCUCUGGCUCUAUGGACCAAUUAAAGAACAGAACAGUAACAAGCUCCAUCAGCUCCCAGCUGAUGGAGCUGUUCAAGAGCUGCGAGACGGACUCGCUCAUCAACUUCUUCUCCAAAACAGGUGACCAUCCAACUCUCUCUGUUCAUUCCCGACCCCUCUCCUCACCCUAGGACCAGGCGGCUGAGUGCAGCAGGAAGCUCUUCAUCUUCCACGCCUCCAUCCCGACCGCUGAGGCUCCUGGGAAGUUGAAGAACCGAGACGAUAAGAAGCUGGUCAGCACGGACAAGGAGAAGCCUAUCAAGGAAUGCUGAUCUUUCAGCUGUCCAAGGACUGUGUAGCUCAGGGCUUCCGCGUGGACCUCUUCCUGUUCCCCAGCCAGUACCUGGACAUCGCCACCAUGGGGGAUGUGCCCGCGCACACCGGGGGCGCCGUCUACAAGUACAGCAACUUCCAGGAGUGUGUGUUUGGGUGGGUUGGUGGGUCAGUUGUGUGUGCGUGUGUGUGUCUGUGUUUGUGUGUGUGGGGGUGUGAGUGUUAUAUUGCUUGUGUGUUUGUUGCCGUGUUGAUGGGAUGAGUGUGAGUGUGUGUGUGUGUGUGUCUGUGCGUGUGUGUCUGUGCGUUUAGAACACAUUACAAUCUAUUUAAACAUGGAUGUUUUUGUGGCCCGAAAUGGGAAAACAAUCUAUUAAUGAAACUCUGGAUACUUUCUAGUUAGGCUAUUGUCUCUGGCUACAGGCCAGGCAUGUGCACUUGAAGCAGACUUUAGAUCAGAUGUAAAAAAACAACGCUUAGCUUUGCUUUAUUAUUAUAUUUACUCAGUAGUUGGCCUCAAGUGAUAAAGAAAGAGUAGCAAUUAAUUAGGAUUCAAAAGACUGUUUAUCACACUUUGUUCAAUUUACAAUUGAUUUGAAAAUAAAACCAACACACCCACAAACUCAAAAUAAAAAGUAUGAUAUCACGUUUGCUGUAUUGUCGCAGUAAUUUACACACAAUACAUGCAUACACACAAAUAUGCACAUAGAGAAUCCCAAUGCAUUGCACACAAAGCCAAAUGAAAAUGUGUACCUUUUUCAAUAUUACCAAUGAGAACACUAUAAAUUAGCUUCUUUCAAUGUUAUGAAUUUUGAGAGGCAGACGAAUUGUUGUAUGUUUUUGUAAACGCAUCUGAAAGGCCUUUGCCCCCACACCUUUUGUGAUUUCUUUUUUUGUAUUGGAGGAAAAUAAACAAUGUUUCCGCGGUCUUGCUGUGGUUCUUCAGUCCUCCUCAGCCAAUGAUCUGACGCACGUACACAGUUCAACCCUUGUAUUUGGAGCAGCCGUUUGUGAUCAGUUGUGACCUGAGCCUUUUUAUCCGCCCUUCAUUUGACUGAAGUCGAUUUCACCCCGAUAUUGAAGUCCUUCAAUAGCUUGGCACCCAUUAUGGCACUGGUCAAAGGUCAGCCCGGAGAGUCAAACACACUGGGUGACUCUGGGAGGAGCUGAGCAUGCUGGGAAAUGGAGUACAGAGAAGCGUAUCUCUGAAACCAUAGAGAAGUGGUGAGAAAUGUAUAAUCCUUUAUAAAUGAUUAUUGAGAUGAUUCAUACUAUUAUUUAUAAGGUUUGUUAAUGAUUUACAAUUUAAUACGUUAGUUCUUUAUGAACACCGAAUAUUGCUGCAGUUCAUGUUUUGUUCAGCUUGCUAGAAAGCAAUUGUUAAAGGGUUGAUAUUACCACCGUGCGUCAGUGUGAUUAGCCAUGACGAGGCUAAGCACACACACCUGGUGACAUAAUAUCACCACUUCAAUUCAAAGUCUUAUUGGUCACAUGUUUGCAAAAAUAACAUUUUACACACAGUAAAAUUAAAAAGGAGUCAUCACUCUGUCAUUCACUCUAUGUAUUUUUAUGUGAGCUCAUCUAAAGUAGGGACAAUCUAUGCCUAACUAAGAAUUUAAAGAUCACAUUUAAAGCUGGAAAAACCUGAAGUACCAUUGCAACAGUACCGAUACUCAUAAUAAUAAUAAAAAUUUUAUUACAUUUAUUUCACUGACGCUUUUAUCAAAAGCAAUGUCAUAAGUUCAUAAACUCAUUCAACAUGAAGAUAUGACCCAACAAGUGACAGAAUCACGCAAGUACAAACAUUUAAUCAGUAAGCAGAGUUCUGAAUUAAUCAAACCAGUAAAUUCAGUUAUUUAAAUGUUUUCUAUUAAAAAAAAUAUUUUAGGGUAGCACAUGUUUAGUUUGUGUCAUUUCAUUAGUUGGACAGUAGCCUAUCAGGGACUUAUCAGGAAAGGUGUGGUAUAAUGUCAUAUUCUGGUCAAUAUUUCGAUUUUAUUGAUCAUUAUUUAGCCUUGUGAAAUUAAGUCUUGUUCCUUUUUUCUUACAAGUUUUCUAAUAAUACGAGUCAAGAGAUGUUCCUAUUAUAGGAGAAAGCCACUAAUUGCCUAGCUCCUUGAGUUUGUUAAUCUGCGUCACAAUCACACACAGCUGCUCAGUUGGUAAAGCUGUUGGUGUUCUUUGGGUUGGUAUAAGGAUUAUAAUUUAUAUUACUUUGUUGUAUACAAAAUAUAUCAGGUUUCAGAAGAGAGCGUGGUUGAAGAGACUUGAACCCAUGUCUCCAGAAUGAGGGUGACCUGCUCUAACAACUACACCACUGAGACACUUUUCAUUAAGUGGUUGGAGGUUAUAAUUGACAUUCAAUUUCACGCGACGUGAAUCGUUAAGUCAAUUAUGAACUCUGAUUAAGUCUGAACCAGUUGCUCAGUGGGGCAGUGGAUAGAGCUGUAUGUGUUCUGUUCUUGAGUCGUGAAUAUGACCUGGGUUCAAAUCCUGUCAGGAACACUCACCUUGGAUUGGAGUCUUUUUCCAACAAUGUCAUGUGUAUUGUAGGGUCAACAAUGAACUUUCUCCCUUUCUAAGUCGGUGUCUCUGUGGCGCAGGUGAUAGAGCUGUUGAGGAUCUGUUCUGGAGACACCGGUUCGAUUCCUGCAAUUGGGGGUUUUGUGAGAAUCACUCUCUGGUGAUUGGAUGCGUGUGAAUGACUGUCUCUGUGAAUGGAUGUGUCUGUGAAUCAGUUAAUUCACAGCCAUCCAAUCACACUGACAGUCAUUGGGAAUGAAUGGGCGAGUGGGAAUGACUGUCUGGGAGAGUGGAUGACUGUGAAUGAGUGCACUCAUUCACAGCCAUCCAUUCCCACAGACAGUCAUUCGAAAUGAAUGUGUGAGUGAAUGGACCCAAUCAGCAGAGAGUCGUUCCCAUAAGACCCCCCCCGUAGGAGUCAGACCGAUGACUCCAGAACAGAUCCUCAACAGCUCAAACACCGAGAGGAGGGGACGUUUUGAUAAACGUUGCUCUG